rnacentral:antisense_RNA from 1 species
GAUGGCGCGGACGCUGACGGUAGAUUCCUGUUCAUCCAGUAAAUCUGCUUCACCGAAAUAUUCGCCAUCGCCUAACAGGGCAAUCCGCAAGUCCUCGCCGUGAGGGCCUUUGCUGAUGACCUCAGCCUGUCCGCUUGCCACAAUGAAGAAGCGUUGUUUGUCCUUGCCCUCCUCUACGAAGAACUUAUCCACAUCGACCUCCUUGGUCUCGAACGAGCUGACGAGGCGGUUUAGGAUUUCGUCGUCAAACUCAGAGAACAGAGGUAUCGCUUUCAAGUUCUUUGCUGUAAAUGACGGUACGCCGUUGACAUACUGAAUGGGCAGGCGGUCGUUCUUGCGAAGUUCGACCUUUGUGCGGUUCACACGGAACGUUCCGCCGCUGACUUGUACCCAGGGUAAUAACUUCAGGAGUAAUCUCGGGGUGAUGGAGCCCAUCUGCGGGGCGGUCUUGGUGGUGGUUGCCAGUCUUCUGGCUGUUGCUGUAGUUACAC